UUGAACGCUGGCGGCCGGCCUAACCCCUGCCAGUCGAGCGGAUGAAGGGAGCUUGCUCCUGGAUUCAGCGGCGGACGGGUGAGUAAUGCCUAGGAAUCUGCCUGGUAGUGGGGGAUAACGUCCGGAAACGGGCGCUAAUACCGCAUACGUCCUGAGGGAGCAAGUGGGGGAUCUUCGGACCUCACGCUAUCAGAUGAGCCUAGGUCGGAUUAGCUAGUUGGUGGGGUAAAGGCCUACCAAGGCGACGAUCCGUAACUGGUCUGAGAGGAUGAUCAGUCACACUGGAACUGAGACACGGUCCAGACUCCUACGGGAGGCAGCAGUGGGGAAUAUUGGACAAUGGGCGAAAGCCUGAUCCAGCCAUGCCGCGUGUGUGAAGAAGGUCUUCGGAUUGUAAAGCACUUUAAGUUGGGAGGAAGGGCAGUAAGUUAAUACCUUGCUGUUUUGACGUUACCAACAGAAUAAGCACCGGCUAACUUCGUG
rnacentral:rRNA from 1 species